AGUGAACGCUGGCGGCAUGCCUAACACAUGCAAGUCGAACGGUAACAGAGGAUACGUUUACCACUAGGGGGGGCAGGGAGCGGAAGGGUAAGGCAUGGGGCAGCAGCCUGUGAGUGGGGGAGAACAAGGUGGGAAGAAUGCUGAUACCACAUAAAAAGUUUAACGAGAAAAUGUAAGGGUGAAAUGGGCAUUGCGAGCAUUAAAGGACGAUUCGAUGUUGUAUUAGUUAGUUGGUGAGGUAAAGGCCCACCAAGCCGACGAUCCGUAGCUGGUCUGAGAGGUUGAUCAGCCUCACUGGAACUGAGACACGGCCCAGACUCCUACGGGAGGCAGCAGUGGGGAAUUUUGGACAAUGGGCGCAAGCCUGAUCCAGCAAUGCCGCGUGGGUGAAGAAGGCCUUCGGGUUGUAAACCCCUUUUGUUCGGAAAGAAAAGCAGCAGGCUAAUACCCCGCGCUUCUGACGGUACCCAAAGAAUAAGCACCGGCUAACUACGUG
rnacentral:rRNA from 1 species